AUACGUAGGGGGCGAGCGUUGUCCGGAAUGACUGGGCGUAAAGGGCGUGUAGGCGGCCUGAUAAGUUUGGAGUGAAAGUCCUGUUUUCAAGAUGGGAAUUGCUUUGGAUACUGUCGGGCUUGAGUGCAGAAGAGGUAAGCGGAAUUCCCAGUGUAGCGGUGAAAUGCGUAGAGAUUGGGAGGAACACCAGUGGCGAAGGCGGCUUACUGGGCUGUAACUGACGCUGAGGCGCGAAAGCGUGGGGAGCGAACAGGAUUAGAUACCCUGGUAGUCCACGCGGUAAACGAUGAAUGCUAGGUGUUGCGGGUAUCGACCCCUGCAGUGCCGGAGUAAACACAAUAAGCAUUCCGCCUGGGGAGUACGGCCGCAAGGUUGAAACUUAAAGGAAUUGACGGGG
rnacentral:rRNA from 1 species